AAACCGUCUGGUAAGUGUGUUCACAAAAAUGUUUAAAACCGUGUACAAUUGUUUCCAAUAAAAACAUAUGUCGUUUUAGGGUAUUAUGUACAUGCAACAAGACGUUUAUUCCAAAAUACUAAGCAACAUUAUGAACGGCGAUAACAAGACUACAAAAAUGUAUCUUAGGUUGUCCUCUGCUUCGUUUCGAAAAAUUGUAACUCACAUUCCCAUAAAGCGCCACGGAUGGUCAGUGGACCUUCGUUGCUGUUGGCGUUCUUUGAACUGAACCAAACAUCCUUGUCAAUGCGCUUUUCCAGAAGGAUUCUGCGUUCUGAACUGCUCCCUGUAAAAUAGUAUUUUUAAUUAAAAAAAUACAUAACGCCUUUUCAUAUGUAAAUCUGAAAUUAAAUCUUACAAGUUA